rnacentral:lncRNA from 1 species
AUGUACAACAACCAUCUGCCCCACCGACAUGUGAGUGGCUUUCAAACCAGCUACAGCAUGUGCUGCCUCUUGCUCAGCCCAAAGCAGUGGGAAAGCAGAGAAAUUAUUGACCUGAGAUGCAGAAGCAUUGGAACAAGCGUGCCCUUGCUUACAGCAUCUCCUGUGAUCACACAUGCAACUGCAUUGUGCUCAGCUGCUGCUGCUGUGCCCAGCCAUUCCACAGGGUCCAUUAUCUCCCUUAGCAUCCCACUGGAAGGGACUGGGGGAGGUAAGGGCCAUGCUUCACAUGAGAGGUAUGAAUCAUGUUACUCCUGUGCUCUCCUGCUUAAUAUUAUCCAUAUAUUUUCAUACUUUAGCUUUGCUACUUAG